rnacentral:pre_miRNA from 1 species
GCUUGGAUAAGGUACUCUAUUUUGUGAAUUUUGCCAGAAUAAUUUACCUUAUCCUUGGA